AAGCAAGGGUCCUAAGACAUGUUUCCUACUGAUGCAAAGAUGAAUAAAGCCUAUAGUCAUGAUUUCAAUAUGAUAUUGAUGCAAUAGUGAGAAAGCUAUAGACAUGAUAUCUAAAAAUGCAAACCUAUAGGCAUGAUCUCUAAUGCAUGUGAGAAAGUAAAUCCUUAUAGACAUGGUAAUGAUAUGACAUUGAUGAAAGACAGUGAAACUCUAUAAACAUGGUAUCUAUAUGAGAUGAUGCAAGAAAGUAAACCCCUCCCAUAUUCCCUUUCACUAGAUCCCCCAAGUUCUUUAUUACAAAUUAUUUACAAGAAUCUGGACAAGAGAAUAACAUUAAAAGAAGUAAAUACACCAAUACUACAACAGACAUGAAGAAGCACAAAGCAACUUUAAUGUCCAACGUAUGCCUUUUAUCAAAUCCGAGAGCCCAAGAUCCGAGGCUUUUCUCUUUUUAUAGUAUUACAAAGUUCCAAGGGCUUUCAAUGGAACCCAGACAUUGCUUACACUCUAAUUGGAAUAGUGCAAGUGUGGAAUUACCAACCCUGAGGCAUCCGAGUUCAGAGGAGACUCCAAGGUCCCUAAGAAUGGCUUACCAGAGGUGGGUAAAACUUAAAGAACAAAGAAUAAAUGUAAAGGUGAUAGAUUAGAGGAAGACCACCAUAUAAAAGGGAA
rnacentral:lncRNA from 1 species